rnacentral:rRNA from 1 species
AUUGAACGCUAGCGGCAGGCCUAACACAUGCAAGUCGAACGAGUGGCGGACGGGUGAGUAAUGUAUGGGCCCCUGCCUGAUGGAGGGGGAUAACUACUGGAAACGGUAGCUAAUACCGCCUACCAUCGGAUGUGCCCAGAUGGGAUUAGCUAGUGGGUGGGGUAAAGGCUCACCUAGGCGACGAUCCCUAGCUGGUUUGAGAGGAUGACCAGCCACACUGGAACUGAGACACGGCCCAGACUCCUACGGGAGGCAGCAGUGGGGAAUUUUGCACAAUGGGCGAAAGCCUGAUCCAGCCAUGCCGCGUGUGUGAAGAAGGUCUUCGGAUUGUAAAGCACGUUAAGUUGGGAGGCGUUACCAACAGAAUAAGCACCGGCUAACUUCGUGCCAGCAGCCGCGGUAAUAC